AUCCUUUUCUGGUUGAUAAGCAUGAUGAUUAGAUGUCCACAAAGUUGUAUGAGGUGUGCCUCCCUUAAAACUUGUUGUGCAUUUGGCACAAUUCCUGUCUGAUG